rnacentral:lncRNA from 1 species
UAUGAUCUAUGUUAAUUGGCAACAAUAUUUGUAUAAUCAAGAAUCAAUUUAGGACAGUAAAGAUCAGCAAUCAUCACUAUUUUCAUUGCAAGAAAAAUCUAUUUUUUAAAGAAUCAAGAAUAAGCGUAAUCGAUUAAUGCUAACUAUAAUUGAUUAAGACAACUGCCAAUAAUCGAUUAAGACAACUAUCAUUAAUCGAUUAAGACAACUGUCAUUAAUUGAUUAACCCUAUUAUUAAUCGAUUAACUGCAGCAGUGUUCUGUUCUGCGCAUAAAUUGGAAAAGUGAGAUUAGUGAUCCGCUAUACUGAUUCAUCCCCCCUCUUGGUGUGUUUUACCUUACUGGUACCCAACAACUAUAUUUUAGUACAUCUUACCAUCCACAGUCUGAUGGACAAACGGAGGUGGAGAACCACUACUUGUAGACGUAUCUGUGGUGCUUCACGGGCACUCAUUCGAAGAAGUGGUUUGCACAUUUGUCUUUGGCAGAAUAUUGGUACAACACCAAUCAUCACUCCUCCAUAGAUCAAUCUCCAUUUACGGCUCUAUAUGGUCGUGCACCACCUACAAUUCGUGACUUUGUUCCGAGUUCAACAACAAACCCGAAAAUACAAGAUACCUUGCAAACAAGAGGCCAACUAUUAGCUACCUUAAAACAGAACCUACUUCAUGGCCAACAAAGAAUGAAGGCUCAUGUUGAUACAAAAAGAGAGGAUAUUAGCUCGGAAGUCGAUGAGUAGGUCAUCUUAUGAUUGCAACCGUAUUCAUAAGUGAUCGACUCAAAAAGUUCUUCUCACAAGUUCGGCCAUCGCUCUUUUGGAUUGUUUCAGGUGAACCGUAGGAUCGGUCUAGUCGAAUAUGAACUUUCCCUACUGGAAGACACACAAAUGCAUCUAGUAUUUCACAUAUCUCUCUUCAGAAGAAAAAAAAAAUUGGAGACCCACACGGCCAUGUUCAAGUGAUCCCUCAAGAUUCCACAUCCUUAGAUUUAGCAGACCAAGAAGAUGAAGGUUUGUUUCAUUCUGGAACAGGGACGAUAGAUGUCACGACAUCUACUCCAGCCUAGUUGACCAUCAAGCCCUCACAAGGAGACAAUGAUUCUCGGUCCAUGCUAGUUACAAAGGAGGGUUUUUCUCACCGUGGAAAUGGUGACAUGGUGUUCAUGAAAGAAAAAGAAGCAAAAGUGAAUGGAGGAGAAGGAUCUAUCCAGAAUAUUGAAGAAGGGCAUGAAGGGGGCAAAGAGACUAUUUGUAAAGGGG